UAGGGAAUCUUCGGCAAUGGACGAAAGUCUGACCGAGCAACGCCGCGUGAGUGAAGAAGGUUUUCGGAUCGUAAAACUCUGUUGUUAGAGAAGAACAAGGACGUUAGUAACUGAACGUCCCCUGACGGUAUCUAACCAGAAAGCCACGGCUAACUACGUGCCAGCAGCCGCGGUAAUACGUAGGUGGCAAGUGUUGUCCGGUGUUAUUUGGCGUAAAGCGAGCGCAGGCGGUUUCUUAAGUCUGAUGUGUAAGCCCCCGGCUCAACCGGGGGGGGUCAGUGUGAACUGGGAGACUUGAGUGCAGAAGAAGAGAGUGGAAGUCCCUGUGGAGCGGUGAAAUGCGUAGUUAUAUUGGGGCGCACCAGUGGCGAAGGCGGCUCUCUGGUCUGUUACUGACGCUGAGGCUCGAAAGCGUGGGGAGCAAACAGG
rnacentral:rRNA from 1 species